rnacentral:lncRNA from 1 species
CCUAUGAGUUCAUCUAAGUUUAGGCUGGAGAGAUCAUGAGCUUCCUCAAUGGCUGUCACCUUCAUAUCAAAUCUUUUAGGCAAAGAUCUGAGUAUUUUUCCAACUAACUCCUCAUCUGAGAUAGGUUUUCCAAGCGCAUCAAAUGAAUUUGCGAAAUCAAGCACAUUCAUUUGAAAGUCAUGAAUGGUUUCUUCCUCCUUCAUUCUGAGAUUCUCAAAAUUAGUUUUGAGCAUCUGGAGCUUAGAUAGCUUUACUUUUGAUGUUCCUUCAUGAGCCUUUCUCAGAAUUUCCCAAGCAUGCUUAGCAGUAAUACAUCUCUUUACAAGCCUGAACAUGUUAGCAUCCACACCAUUGAAAAUUGAAUACAAGGCUUUGGAGUUGCCAAGUGCCAGAUCAUCCUCAUCUUU